CUUCGGUUCUGGUACAAUCCUAGCCCUGUAACCCUAACUAGGCUAUACACAAAUGUCUUAUAAGGCUAUAAAUCUACAUGCAGACAUGUAGACUAUUAUAUACUGUAUAUAAAUUAUUAUUUCUAAACAACUGUUAAGGCGAACGUAAAACAAAAUCAUAACUCAAAUGAAUAAAUAAAAACUGACUUAUGGAAUACUAGGCUAAAUUGAAGAUUUUUCAUUCAAAACAGCCCAAUACUGCAAUAGCUGUAAAGCGUAACAAAACAGCAAUAACGGAAUACCGUAACAUGGCACAACCCUGCAUUCACAAUCAGACAAUGGCGAUUGUUUUCGUUUUCAUGCUGAAUCAGCUGUCGAUCACGUGAUAAUUUGAUCCACGUCAUUUUCAUUAUUUCCUUGAUAAUAAAAAGAACCCUAUCGUCAUUUUUUUGUGAUACUCCGCCAACUUUGUGGUUAUUUCAAGCGUAGGGAUCAGAAAUUCGAUUCCGACUCCCAGGAGUUCGAAAAUCCGCAUACAGUAAAAUGAAAAAUGCCAAACUACGCAAUGCAAGUCUGUCCGCCAAGCGAAUAAAGAUAGCAGGAAACAACAAAUGACGGAAUAGCAGAGAAUGCUUUUUAUUGAUAAUGGGAGCCACUCUGUAUGUUCUUAACCUUGACAAAAUUCAAAAAGCGCAACGAAAGGUCCCGUAUGUUUGCGCUGAUAAAUUUGGGCAAUCGUGGGUCAUCACACGCUGCAUGUUUUCUGGGCAUAGCCAGCAGUGUCUGUAAUGUACCACCGAACUUCUUCUCCAACAAACAGAAUGUUAUUGGUAUAUUUAGAUUAGCAGCUAGAUAUUCACCAAGACACUACUGUAGCGUCACCAAAAUUUCAAGCAAAUCAAAUCUUUUUUUUCAAAUAUCAUCUGAUCGUCCGGCGUUAACGGAACCAUCUUUGUAACAUUCUACUUUUAAAACGAGGCAUGGCGUUGUAGUAAAUUGCUUACACAUUUCAUUUAGUCCGAAUUUCAAUGGAUUCAGUUUAUGUAACACAAUGAUUCUGCAUUUUCUAUCAGUUAUAAGCAGAAUUCAUUAGUUGAUAUUAAAGUAAUCAAGUAAAGUAAUCAAGAGAUGCGCCCUAGUUUGAGGUCUUUUAAUUAGAAAAUGAUUAGAAAACAGAAUUAAACGUUAAAUCUCUAUUCGAGGAUACGCAGACGACAUCAGACAACGCGAAGAAGCGGGCGUAUAAGUUAUUUGUGCUUACCAAGGAUCGUUAGAUUUAGACUAGUGCGUUUUCUCGCCAGCUGAUGUGGUAGUACGGUAUAUUUCAAAUGAUUAGUUGUUCCGAAUGUGUUGUUGCAAGCAACCUUUAAAAAUUCCUAUUUUUCUCAUAUACUGUCCGUUGUUUAUAAAGCAGUGCCGUCUUACAGUUCAUCAGUAGCGAGCUCUUGUUUUCCUUGAAAUAGUAAGGAUCAUGAAUAUAUUGAUACUGUACAUCACUCUUUGUACUGCUUUGUCGAGCGUGAAUGCACUGACUCCUCAAAUAUCAAUGUAUAUUAAUGAAGGCGUAAAUCGCCGUCAACAUGUCCCAGUGAACCCCGACGAAAACCUUAUCACGGCAGUCUGUAAGACGAACUUGGAAAUGGUUGAGACAAACGCUACAACUGCAUUAUCUGCUGACACCUCACCCACAAACUCCAUUGUAGAUAUCUAUCGAAAAUGCAAGGUAUCUGGCACAAGAUAUUGUCGACUACGAUUGCUACAGCCGGAGAGACGAUAUCUAAUCUCUCGUGAGAUAGAUUGGACAAAAAAUUAUAGCGUUAUUGCGACAAAAUAUCAGAGCAUUCCUGUGCAUUGCCACGAAAAUGAUGUUUCGAAUUAUGCAAAGAUUAUAUUUCAAGAUCAUUUUGAAACAAACUCUACGAAACAUGUCUCCCUUUACUCCACAAUGUGAAGAAGACGAAGAGCAUGGUUAUGGGUUUUACGUGACUAUGUGCAUAUUCGGAUUCUUAACAAUUCUCGUUGUUAUUGGCACUCUCCUGGAAUUAUGUACUGGAUUCCAUCAAAACAAAACGCAAUACAUAAAAGGAAAAUGGAAGAAACAAACAUCGGUUCCAGGUUGGAGAUCCUCCAGAUGCACGAUUCCGUGCGAGUACAAAAAUAAAAUAAAUAUCAUCGUUAUUUGUGGAAAAAUUUGCGAUUCAGAGACAAUAAGCACCAACGUAAAAGACGUUUACGACCUAAAUAACACGCCACGAUGUCAAAAACAAUCAAUUUUAGCAAAAGGCAAUUGCACGCGUUAUUGGCGACCUUUUCGGUUCUCAACCCCCCAUGUCAGUCAUGUUACAGGCAUGACGAAAUAAAAUAUCUGAAUCUGAACUAAGAUAACAAUUAUGCACGUUUGUAGAGAGGCGUUAAAUAUUGAGAAGGUUCAAUCGGAAAAUGUUUCAAUAAAAAAUUUCAAAUUGGGAGAACAAUUAUACUCGUAUUUUUAUUUAAAUAGUAAUAAUCGCACAAGUAUCUUAAUUCAACAACAGUCUUGAAAAUUCAAGAGGGCGCAUUUUGAGUUUUGCUAUGGGCGCGCCAUUUUACAUAGAUACGCCCCUGCUCAAUGGUCGGCAACCUUUUGUCGCUCGUUGGCCAAAAUUAAGGUUUGCAAGUCAUUGGCGGGCCGCACAUAUUUUUAGAAAGUUGAAAACCGAACGGAUAAUACUUUUUAUAAUAAUAAA